UGUAUAUAUGCAUAUACUUUGUUUUUACAGGUUGUAGAUUUCCAUAUGCAUUCUUAUUUCCACCAUGAAGCAAUUGAGAAGAUCAAGGGCAGUGAACAGCUGCAUAAGUGUUUGGGCAUGUGAUGCACCUAUGAUGGGACUAGAGCAGUACAAGGAGCAUAUUGCCACCCGUAAGCACAAAAAAAGUCUGUUUAAACUCCAAGGUGAAAGAAAUAGAAGAAGACCUCUUCAAGUGGACUACAAUGUUAACCUGACUGAUAAUGAAUUAAAAGCCCUUGAUGAUCUAAGACAGCAAGAAAAG